rnacentral:rRNA from 1 species
GACGAACGCUGGCGGCGUGCUUAACACAUGCAAGUCGAACGGGUCUGCCCUGUUUUUUGCGGGGUGGGUCAGUGGCGAACGGGUGAGUAACACGUGAGUAACCUGCCCCUCACUUCUGGAUAACCGCUUGAAAGGGUGGCUAAUACGGGGUGUUCUGGCUGUGCCGCAUGGUGUGGCUGGGAAAGAUUCACUUUUGUGGUGUUUUGGUGGGGGAUGGGCUCGCGGCCUAUCAGCUUGUUGGUGGGGUGAUGGCCUGCCAAGGCUUUGACGGGUAGCCGGCCUGGGGGGGUGGGCGGUCACACUGGGACUGAGAUACGGCCCAGACUACUGCGGGAGGCAGCAGUGGGGGGUAUUGCACAAUGGGCGGAAGGCUGAUGCAGCGACGUCGCGUGAGGGAUGGAGGCCUGCGGGUUGUGAACCUCUUUCGCCGGUGAAGAAGGUCCUGCUCUUUGUGGUGGGGUUGACGGUAGCCGGGUUAUGAAGCGCCGGCUAACUACGUG